CGUCCGUACGGGAGGGGGUUGCCGGUCCGGGCCCGCUUCGGGGGUGGGCGCCGGGCCGUGAUCGGUACGGGGCGGUUCCGCCGCCGUGGCCGC
rnacentral:tRNA from 1 species